rnacentral:rRNA from 1 species
CAGUCGCCGCGGGAAUACGAAGGGGGCUAGCGUUGUUCGGAAUUACUGGACGUAAAGCGCACGCAGGCGGCUCGAUAAAUUAGAAGUGAAAGCCUUGGGCUUAACCUGAGAAUUGCUUUUAAGACUGUCGAGCUAGAAUCCAGAAGAGGGUAGUGGAAUUCCGAGUGUAGAGGUGAAAUUCGUAGAUAUUCGGAAGAACACCAGUGGCGAAGGCGGCUCACUGGCUCAUUCUAGACGCUGAGGUGCGAAAGCGUGGGGAGCAAACAGGAUUAGAUACCCCAGUAGUCCCUGUCUCUUAUAC